rnacentral:rRNA from 1 species
UGGGGGAUAUUGCACAAUGGGCGAAAGCCUGAUGCAGCGACGCCGCGUGGGGGAUGAAGGCUUUCGGGUUGUAAACCUCUUUCGCUAUCGAACAAGGCCCGCUUAGGGUGGGUUGAGGGUAGGUGGAGAAGAAGCGCCGGCUAACUACGUGCCAGCAGCCGCGGUAAUACGUAGGGCGCGAGCGUUGUCCGGAAUUAUUGGGCGUAAAGGGCUUGUAGGCGGCUUGUUGCGCCUGCUGUGAAAACGCGGGGCUUAACUUCGCGCGUGCAGUGGGUACGGGCAGGCUUGAGUGUGGUAGGGGUGACUGGAAUUCCAGGUGUAGCGGUGGAAUGCGCAGAUAUCUGGAGGAACACCGAUAGCGAAGGCAGGUCACUGGGCCAUUACUGACGCUGAGGAGCGAAAGCAUGGGUAGCGAACAGG